CAAUAGGUAUAGUGACAGACAGGAACUCUCUGUUUACAUGGCUAACAUCUAACACGAUACAAUUAGUAUCACCUUCAAUUCUCUAACAAUACAGGUUUGCAUUUCAAAGUUCUAGCCUAUCUAGCAUGGAGUGGUCCUAAUUACCACUCCCAUACUUUUCUAAUACGUCUCUAAUGGUUGACUCUGGAUCAUUUAUUCUGCAGGAUGCUUAACUGUUUCUGGCCAUGCGUCACACUCUGCUCUCUCAUGAAGGUUUCAGAGGAUUGCCAAACUUCCAUACCAUCGAGCUGAGAUGAUCCAGAAACCAGACAUUUCAAUGGCAGAAGGUGGAGCUGGAAUCCAAGAGGUUAUCAGGAAGCUUCUUCCAUGAAGGUCAGGAAUACAAAUGUGGACAGCAUUUUUGGAAUGUGGACGAUGAUUUGUCUUGUCCUGUUUUUGUGCUGAAGCCAUCUGUUGCAUGUGAAGGAGAGUGGCAAGAGUUAAAUGAAUCAACAUUCCAACAUUGGUGUUGCCACAUUCUAUUGGAAUUCCACUGAAAUCAAAAUGGAACGUCAUGAAAUAGCUGGCAUGGCACCUAAUGAACUGCUUCUUGCCUGAUAAAUGCGACCACACUAUGUGACUGAGUCAGGUGAAAGUAACCAAGAGAAUUCAAGUCCUUCCAGAGCUGUUACAAAGAAGUGGGGAACUACAGUUAAGAAGAACCACCCCAUCCUGGAAAUAUGGUAUUUAAACCACCUUACCCAGAACUGCCUUCAAUGUUGGGGAAACAUAAUUUGCAAGAGAGAAAGGGAACUUUGUAGUUUUAAACACUGUAAUGGAGAGACUAGACACUCUCCGGAAUAAAGUGACAAACCAUCCCAACAUUUAGGGUAAUCUGGCUACAAUAAAUAUUGUUACUUGGCUUAUCAGGAUUAUACUGAAUGAUCUGGAUGCUUAGAUGCCUAUGAUCUGUCUCUCUGUAGCUCUCUGAAAAAUCCAAUCUGGGUCUUGGAGGAACACACGGAAAGCUGUGCAGUGUUCCCUGAUAGAGGAAUACAAGUUCUUGGGGUAUUGUUAUGGAUGUGCUCCUCUGCAAAAACCAUUGACUUUUCCCAAGGGAGGAGUAUCGUUCAUGAGACUAAUGUUAAGAUAUUGACUGUGAUCUCAUGUUUGUAAUCUUCAAACAGACAUAAACUCUCUGUGGACAUGGUCAUAUCAUUACAUAGUCUAACUUAAAGGA